UGGGGUGUAGAUUGGCCUGAGCAAAUGUGGUGCCGGUGGAACGAAAGCCUUCGGAGGAGUUAGCGAAAUUCCAAUGUGUGCGGAUCGGCAAAAAAUGCGGAAUAACCCUUUAACCGUACAUUUGACAGAUACGCGCGCAUUGACUUUUUCGUAGAUUUUAUUGAGAUACAUGUGUGUGUCAAUUUUUGUGUCAUUUUGCCAAAGCGUACAGGUGUUACACUCAACAAUGUGUAUUUUCACCUUAGGGGACAAGAAAAAAUGGACUUUUUUCUCCUGCCAUGGGGGGGCGCUCUUUUGGGGAGUAAAAAUUCCUUCACAAAUGUGUUGAUGGCUGGACAUUGCAUCAUCCUAGAAAACUUGGAGGCCAGUGAGGGCAAAAAUAAAAAGUUAUAAGACUUUUAAAUAUGUGGAUCUUAGGGUUAUCUUUGGCGCCCCCUAGAACCUAAACCGUGGGGUGCAGCGUCAUGAUUUGAAUAACUUUUAAUGGCCAUGGGGUGUAGAUUGGCCUGAGCAAAUGUGGUGCCGGUGGAACGAAAGCCUUCGGAGGAGUUAGCGAAAUUCCAAUGUGUGCGGAUCGGCAAAAAAUGCGAAAUAACCCUUUAACCGUACAUUUGACAGAUACGCCCGCACUGACUUUUUUGUAGAUCUUAUUGAGAUACAUGUGUGUGUCAAUUUUUGUGUCAUUUUGACAAAGCGUACAGGCGUGACAGUCAAUAGUGUGAAUUUUCACCUUAGGGGGCGCUAUGGAGCCAUUUUGCAUUUUCUUGUUUGGGCGACUUCGGAAUAUCAAAUUUUUCACCAGGCCCGGUCGUCCUGCCAAAUUUCAUGAGUUUUCGCCAGUGGGAAGUGGGCCAUUUUCCAGUUUAAAGGGGAGGAAAAAUAAUAAUAAUAACAAAAGAAGGAAACUACAGGAACAAGAGGGCUCUCGCAGCUGCUUAGCAGCUACGCUCGGGCCCUAAAGAAAGAAAGAAACAAAGAAAAACCACUUGGGGAAUAAUAGGGCCUACGCCCGGCUGCUCUGCAGCUGGCUCGGGCCCUAACUAGGGCCCCGUUGGGGCACUGGCGGGCCCGAGCCGUGUCGCGCCCCCUCCCCCCCCCCAACACGCUGCCUCCCCGUCCCAUUCGCGUCCUCUGGCCAUCGCCCUCUCUGGUAACGCCCAUCACUGCAAAGACCCUUUUCCUUCAUCGGCGUUUGCUGUUCUUCCUGCCAGUGCGUGUUGCUUUCACUUACACUUGCCACAGCCAACCUCGUGAGUGCCUAGCCUAUUGGAUAUCACUGUCAUCUACACAGGACAGUCCUUACCUUUCUAUUAAUACUUUGUUUUUUAAUUUCACAUUAAUUUCCAUAUUGUAUAAAGGACUGGAAAAGACUUGAGCCCCUGCCCCUGUAUAAUCAUGUGCACGUCCCUGUUCUGGCUCUAAGGUGAAUCUUCACUGCUCAUGUUCUCCUCAGAAGCAGUCACCUCACUCCCCUCAGGUUACUGUACACACGCAGCAACUGCAUGCUUCAGGUUUAGAUAGCGCUUCAUGGUUGUCUUUUGGAGAAAUGAGCAGUCAAGUUGUGUUUGAAAUUAGAUUUUUUUCAGGGGCAAAAGGAGCCUCUGCAUUCUUGUCAAAUAUGUAAACAGCAUGUUUUUGCAGGUGCUAAAAAACAGACUCUGAGUGUGUGUGUGUGUGUGUGUGUGUGUGUGUGUGUGUGUGUGUGUGUGUGUGUGUGUGUGUGUGUGUGUGUGUGUGUGUGUGUAUCCUGCAGUACUCUGAGAAGAAUAAGCAUAUUUCUGAGGUGAAUUUUGAAGAUUCAUCUGAGAGUCAGGAGGGCUGAUCAUUCCCUUUUCCUUCAGAUGUCUGUCUAUGUCUGUUUUUGUGUAAUAAUGAAAGAAUCCUAACUCAAAAAGGCUCUGUUGAUGUUUUUUUUUGUUGUUCAUUCAUAUUCAAACCACUAUUUUAUAUCACUGCUAAUACGCCAAGACCAUUUUAUGGUAUUUAGCUUUAUUAUUUCUAUGCAUUUUGCAAGGACAGAAACCAAGGCCUUCACUAAAAUUUCCAUAAACUUUAGGAAAGGACCUCUGGUUGUUUAAGGGGGUCAUUACUGCAAAAACAUAUUCUUCCUAAAUUUUGAAGGUCAAACCUUAGAUCCAUUAGGUUUAAAUAGAAAAAGCAUUAAAAUAUGUUAGGAUUAUAGCAUAUGACAAAUGUGUGCCUCUCAGUGGCCAUAACUACUUUGUCUGCUGGCUCUGCAGUCGAUUGACGCUCCCCAGUGUUCAAGUCACAUGACAUAUUUAACCGGAUGUAGCUGCAAGACAGAGCCUCGUUGACUCUCCGUUUCAACUUAUCUCCAAAGUGAGGACCUUAAACUAUAUACCAGUUUUUAAAUUGUGUUGAUAGGCCAAAUAAAACCAGAGUUAUGAUAAAUUAUGUCUGCGAUACUUUUUUUCUGCUUAUUUGAUCACGUUCGGCGCUCGAUCGCGCUGUAUGAGACAGGAAAACAUAGCAUGCAGACAUUAGCGACAGGUCUUACAGGCGAAAAAGGGUUGCCAAAAGAAAAAAAAAACACACCACAACAUCUCUCCUAUUGGUGGAAAACUUCACCACAACAACCAAUCCAAAAUUAUAUGGUGACUGAUUGACAAGGGGCGGGCGCUUACCUUCUUCCUGCAACAUGAGAAGGGAGGGAGGGACUCUCAGCAGGGAUGCAGUCUGGGACACGUAGUUGCAAACCUAGCGACUUUGUUGUUGGAUUCAAUGACUUUUCAGACCCCCCUUACGACUUUUUUUUUUUAGAAAGAAAGGGAAUUUUAUCAACUUCUUCUGGAGUUCAGAGACUCUGACAUGAAGCAGGCUUUCCUUACUGAGGAGUUGGCAACGCUGCUAAGGGUGCAGAGCCACACAUGCGCUCCGAGCUCUGCAUGGGAGACUGAAGCUGACAGAGCUGCAGCAGUUAGCAGGUUUCACCCUCAGAGACCACCAGGGGUUCAUGUUGAGGCAUUUUCAGUUUUUUUUUUUUUUUUUUUUUGCCAUGACACUGUCAGCACAAUCUGCAGUUACACUAACAAAAAUGCUGGACAAAACAAAGAAUUAUGGAAAAAAUACACAUGGACUAACAUAGAGGAGGAUCUACACAAGUUUUUUACAUCAUGUUUUACAUCAUGCAUCAUUUACAUCAUGUUUUUUUGUAGUGGCAUAAAUAAAAAGUGACAUUUGUGAGACUAUACAGUGUUUUGUAAAUAAUUUUACAAAGAACGCCUGGGCCAUUGCCUGCAUUUUGAUGUAAAUAGAGGUAAAUUACUAUGUUCUUUGUUAAAAAUUUGCAUAUGUUUUGAAGUUUACAAUUUUUAUUUGAAGUUUAAGUUUUAAAAACAGUUCAUCACACAUAUUUGUGGUUUUCACAGUAAAAAUUUUACUUUUUUCCACUCGGAUUUUAUGUUUUGUGUGUGAAUUUGGGUCCAUUGUGUAAAUACAGUAUGUCAAAAUGAUAAAAUAACUGUAAAUUAACACAGGUGAGGUUGUGCUGAAAAGAAUGAUACCAGGCAAGGCAAGGUAAAAAAAUUUUAAGAGGAAAUAUAAAGGUAAAAUCUAAAGUAGUCAAAAACGGCCAAUAGUGACCCCCAGACUCCAUAGACAAGUCCCUUUGGCGCCACUCAGUGGGCAAAACUACUUUGUCUGCUGUAAUGUAUAUUUGGGUCAUCUUUGGCGCCCCCUAGAACGUAAACCGUGAGGUGCAGCGUCAUGAUUUUUACAACUUUUAAUGGCCAUGGGGUGUAGAUUGGCCUGAGCAAAUUUGGUGCCGGUGGAACGAAAGCCUUCGGAGGAGUUAGCGAAAUUCCAAUGUGUGCGGAUCGGCAAAAAAUGCGAAAUAGCUCUUUAACCGUACAUUAUACAGAUACGCGCUCUUUGACUUUUUCGUAGAUCUUAUUGAGAUACACGUGUGUGUCAAAUUUUGUGUCAAUAUGACAAAGCGUUCAGGCGUGACACUCAACAAUGUGUAUUUUCACCUUAGGGGACAAGAAAAAAUGGACUUUUUUCUCCUGCCAUGGGGGGGCGCUCUUUUGGGGAGUAAAAAUUCCUUCACAAAUGUGUUGAUGGCUGGACAUUGCAUCAUCCUUGAAAAAUUGGAGGCCAGUGAGGGCAAAAAUAAAAAGUUAUAAGACUUUUAAAUAUGUGGAUUUUAGGGUUAUCUUUGGCGCCCCCUAGAACCUAAACCGUGGGGUGCAGCGUCAUGAUUUGAAUAACUUUUAAUGGCCAUGGGGUGUAGAUUGGCCUGAGCAAAUGUGGUGCUGGUGGAACGAAAGUCUUCAGAGGAGUUAGCGAAAUUCCAAUGUGUGGGGAUCUGCAAAAAAUGCGCAAUAACCCUUUAACCGUACAUUUGACAGAUACGCCCGCACUGACUUUUUUGUAGAUCUUAUUGAGAUACAUGUGUGUGUCAAUUUUUGUGUCAUUUUGACAAAGCGUACAGGCAUGACAGUCAAUAGUGUGAAUUUUCACCUUAGGGGGCGCUAUGGAGCCAUUUUGCAUUUUAUUGUUUGGGCGACUUAAGAAUAUCGAAUUUUUCACCAGGCCCGGUCGUCCUGCCAAAUUUCAUGAGUUUUCGCCAGUGGGAAGUGGGCCAUUUUCCAGUUUAAAGCGGAGGAAAAAUAAUAACUAGGGCCCCGGUGGGGCACUGGCGGGCCCAAGCCGUGUCGCGCCGCCCCCAGCGCGACCGCCUACCCCUCCCGAUCGCGUCACACUCAAGGUCCAAAGAUGGUGUGCGCACUUGUCUGUGGUCAUUUACCAUUAUAAUGAAUGGGAGGCGCGGUUUCUACCAAAAUGCUCGCUGCAGACAAACUCCAUGUCCUUUUUGAAAAAAGUCUGGACCAUGAGUGAGGGCACAAACACAGCUUCGAUAUAUCCAAAUGGCAAGUUGCUC
rnacentral:lncRNA from 1 species